rnacentral:rRNA from 1 species
UAGCCUGAUGGAGGGGGAUAACUACUGGAAACGGUAGCUAAUACCGCAUAACGUCGCAAGACCAAAGAGGGGACCUUCGGGCCUCUUGCCAUCGGAUGUGCCCAGAUGGGAUUAGCUAGUAGGUGGGGUAACGGCUCACCUAGGCGACGAUCCCUAGCUGGUCUGAGAGGAUGACCAGCCACACUGGAACUGAGACACGGUCCAG